GAAUAUAUUUUCUUGCUGAGAAUCUCCCAUCCUGCUCCCCAAAGGUGGCAUUAUCUUGAAGCUAUGACUGCUGCUUUCUCCUGUACGCUUAUUCUCAGCAUCACAAGCACAGAUUUUGGAUUUGCCCACCAACCCUCAGAGGAGACAAGAUCUGCUCCAGAAGAGCACCUUGCAAAAUAUUUCACUGUUUUUCUCAUGAUGGACAAUUUUCCCAAUAACAAUAACAAC